rnacentral:rRNA from 1 species
AUUGAACGCUGGCGGCAUGCUUUACACAUGCCAGUCGAACGGCAGCGCGGGCUUCGGCCUGGCGGCGAGUGGCGAACGGGUGAGUAAUGCAUCGGAACGUGCCCAGUAGUGGGGGAUAGCCCGGCGAAAGCCGGAUUAAUACCGCAUACGACCUGAGGGUGAAAGCGGGGGACCGAAAGGCCUCGCGCUAUUGGAGCGGCCGAUGUCGGAUUAGCUAGUUGGUGGGGUAAAGGCUUACCAAGGCGACGAUCCGUAGCUGGUCUGAGAGGACGACCAGCCACACUGGGACUAAGACACGGCCCAGACUCCUACGGGAGGCAGCAGUGGGGAAUUUUGGACAAUGGGGGCAACCCUGAUCCAGCCAUGCCGCGUGCGGGAAGAAGGCCUUCGGGUUGUAAACCGCUUUUGUUCGGGAAGAAAUCCUCUGGGCUAAUACCCCGGGGGGAUGACGGUACCGGAAGAAUAAGCACCGGCUAACUACGUG